rnacentral:rRNA from 1 species
UACGGAGGGGGCUAGCGUUGUUCGGAAUUACUGGGCGUAAAGCGCACGUAGGCGGCUUUGUAAGUUAGAAGGUGAAAGCCCGGGGCUCAACUCCGGAAUUGCCUUUAGACUGCAUCGCUAGAAUUGUGGAGAGGUAAGUGGAAUUCCGAGUGUAGAGGUGAAAUUCGUAGAUAUUCGGAAGAACACCAGUGGCGAAGGACGACUUAC